AACUGGCUUCUGAGUUUACAAUAGACUGGUCUGGACAAGAAGCACUACAGAUGAAUUUGGACUGGAGAUAGCUGGAUCUGAAGAGAUGAUCAUAGAAAUGUAAGUUUCUAGCUGUCCGCUGGAAUGACUUGGAGCAGUGAGAUGACAUUGGAAGAUACUGAUCAGAAAACUGGUCUCAGAUUUCAAGUCAGAAAAUGUCUCUGGAGAAUGGUUAAGAACAAGACCAGCAUUUUUUCCUUCAGGUCUUUUUCUUAGGGAAGAACUUUGGUGUGAGUAUUGUCUUCAUCCAUGGCAGCAUCUGAAAGAUUUUUGUGAAAUGUGUCAUUCUGAAUGAUGCCACUAUCUUGUAGCUUCAGUCAUGGACUUCAACCAAGAUUUACCACAACUGAUGUAUGGAAUAAACAGCUUCCAGCUAUAUUUAGAGGAGCAUUUUGAUACAUGUGAAGAAAAACACAGAUUAUAACAACACAACCCCAUGUAAAAUGGAUAACCCUUAUUUGUUCUAACUGAAACAAGCUGUUCUGCUAAACACCAAAUGUCUGCAAAACAGCUGAAGGUAAAUAUCUUAUUUACCUAUUAAGGUAAAUAUCUUGGUAUAUAAUCUCAUGUUUAAAGGGGAAUGUUAGUGUUUAGAAGAGGAAAUAAAAAUUCAAGAAGAUAAAUGACUUUAUUAGAGAAAAAUGUGCAGCUAAGAAGAAAAAUGGUUUAUUAAGCAAACAUUAUUGUUACAAAACUAGUAACUCUGAUACUAACAAAAAUAAACCAGUAACCAAAGAAACUAAAAUGGGA